GCCCCCCGGUACAGCGCCCGCGACAUUGCUGCAGCAGCUGCGGAUCUCACGGCCCCAGCCACAGCCGCAUGGACACCAGCCACCACCGUACCGAAACAAUUCCACACUUCCCGCCGCCGCAGCACUCGCCCACUCCACUGGCUGCCUGCGCCUGCGCUACCACUUACCUCCCCAUUGCACGCGGCGAGUAAUGGAGAAGCCGAGAUAGAGAGAGAGAGGUGGAAGAUAGAUACCGCGCAAUAAUAUCACACCACCCCCACGAGCAGUAAACCGAGGGAGGAGUCCUUUGCCUCCUUGGCCGUUUCGCUGCGGA
rnacentral:lncRNA from 1 species